UUCUUCAGUGCCAAGGAAUCAUGGAGAUCUUGGAUUCCUCCCCACAGAGGAAUUGGUGGGGGGGAACAGUCUAAAGCAGAACCUAAGCUCUGUUAUCAGAGAAAUGCCUCUGUCCUCAGCCCAGAUGUCUCUUCUUCCCCGAGAUGGCAUACAUUCCUGAUAAGUGACAUUAACUUUGCUACAUGACAGUUCAGUUGGUCUGUAGUGAAAUACUUCACAACCUGUUUAUACAAACUCUAAGGGAAAACAGUUCGUGGACUAAUGUGCCACCUUGAAUCUACUCCCUUGUGUUUACAAUUGAGACCAAGGUUGUUUGUCUUGCUGAGUUCCACCUGCAGAAACUCCAUCUCCAGCGACUGCGGCAUUGAUCCUCUCUUCCCUUGACUUUUCCAUCUCUUCUGGUUGCUUAGAAAUUCUGCUACAUGAGUAAGUUCUAUGAGGAGAGUGUCCUGAUGAGAGGUUUUACUUGUGUCAUCGGCACUGUGGUUUCUGAACAGCCCAGUCAGUAAAGGCUGCGUCCAUGGCAUGUUGUGCCCACACUGCUUACACCCCUCCGCGCCGAUCUUCCUGUUGGCCUGGCAGCUGUUUAUUGUAACACUAAAUCGUGACCUGGAUUUCUGACUUGAGGAUCUGUGUUAUGAGAAAUUCCGGAUUUGGGACAUGACUUUAACUGCAGGAACGAACGUAUUAUUUUUAUCAUUGCAUUUAUGCCCAUGAACCUUUUAAAGUGCAUCAAAUUUAGCAGCCAAGAAAGACUGUUUAUAAAAAGAGGAGAAUGAACAUGGACUCUUGUCCACUGGGACCCCCAAAUGGAUAAAAUAAUCUCAUAUUUCUCUACAUCAAAGAGCACAAAACAGAAAUGUGUCCCCCUCACUGAAACUCUUGGGAUGUAGCUCACCGUGAGAAACUUUUCCUAAUAUUCUGAAGCUCUGUGAGCCUUGUUUGUCUUUUAUGUAUCCUGCAUGAUUCUGUGAGUUUUACACAUAAAGAUACAGGUUUUGAGGGGCCUGAUGCUUCUUUGAUUUCUGGGGCUCUCUUUAAGAAAAAGAAAAUUAAAUUAUGAAUAUAAGUUUCUAGGUACUGGGGUAGAAAGAAGCCCUAAAAUCAAAGCCUAAUAUGCUUCAUGGUAAAUCUGCAUUUGGAGUUCCAUAGAGAUCAUCUUCUUUAAGACUGAAAUAUUAUGAUAGUCUCAGUUUGUCCUGAUAGUGGGAGGUUCCCUAACCCCCCGUCUGCUUUUCCACAGCAGCACUAGAAUCGCUUUAGCCAUCAUUAAUAUGAGUAUUUUCACCUCCAUCAUAAAAAAAUAGCAUUAUUGGGAUAUAAUUCACAUACCUUAAACUGCAUCUUUUAAGACUGUAAUCCAGUGGUUUUAGAAUAUUCAGUUAUCCAAUCAUUAUUGUGAUCUAAUUCCAGAACAUUUUUACCACCUCACAAAGAAACUCUGUGCCCACAAGCAGUCACCCCCAUUAUUUUCUUAUCCUAAUCACAAAUUAAAUAAAAAUAUAGAUUUAUGAAGAAUUAUAACCCAAAAUUUUGAUGAACCCAGUCUUAUGUAAAUAUAGGACCUUUCAUGAACCUUAUCUAGAGGGAUGAAACAUCAGUCCUGAUAUUUAAGACUGCAAGGAGUUUCAUGACUGUGAUGCAAAGGACAAAGGCCAGUGGAGACUGAGCUCUGCUGGUAUUUCAAUAGGAUUUCUAUUGUUUUUGGUAAUGCUCUGGUUACAAAUUAUAUAUUUUUGGGUUUUUCCCUAUUCUAAUCUCCACCAUAAUUAAUGUGUGUGAAUUGGACUAACAGGGGGAUUUUCAGGAACACACAUAUUGAGUUAUAACAGAAACUGCUGUAUCUGAGCAGUGAGCAGAAUUUUUGGAAUUUAUUUUUGUUUACACACAAAAAAUAUGCACGCAAAUAAGCAUGUAUGUAUUUUUCUCUGCUGUUACUUGACGUAGCAAACACUGAACAGAUUUGGUGACUCAGGAGAUAUGAUGUGAAAUCAUUUAUUAACAAUAAACUAUUUCUUAUAUAACUUUUGCUGGAUUCCGUGACUGGCAAAGUAGUAACAAAGAUUGAGACAAAAGUUUUGCCUUCCUUCUAGAGAGUGAAAACUCUGUGUGGUUUUUGCACCUUGAUUUUAUCUAGAGAAAAAGAUGUACGUAAGACCAAAAGGUGCAUAACUACAUCAUCCAAUGUAUUCACUAUGGUUCAUAAUAAAUUGUAAGUCUCACAUUUUCCAUCAAAGAUGAAUUAACUAACCAUAAUUCAACUUUACCACUGUAUAUUUCUAGUCCAGUAAGUUAUAUUGAGACAAAAUUGGAACUUAGGACGGUUUAGAAUCUUCCAUCUUACAUAGGAAGCAUGUGACAUGGUACAGUCAAACUCAUCAUAUAUCUGCUAACUGUACUUCCUGUAAAAGGCAGAAGCAUCACACAGCCCAGUAACUUUGCUAGUACCUCUUGAGUGCAAAGUGUAGAAUUAAGAUCUGGAUUUGAGACCCAGCACGGAACAUUUCACUUGGGAAGAGCUAUGAACAUGCUGACUGCUAGCCUGCUGAGGGCAGUCAUAGCCUCCAUCUGUCUUGGAUCCAGCAUGGCCCAGAAAGUAACUCAAGCUCAGACUGAAAUUUCCGUGGUGGAGAAGGAAGAUGUGACCUUGGACUGUGUGUAUGAAACCAGUGAUACUACUUACUACUUAUACUGGUACAAGCAACCACCAACUCGAGAAAUGAUUUUCCUUAUUCGUCAGAGCUCUUUUAAUGAGCAAAAUGAAAUCAAUGGUCGGUAUUCUUGUAACUUCCAGAGAUCCACCAGUUCCUUCAACCUCACCAUCACAGCCUCACAAGUCAUUGACUCAGCAGUGUAUUUCUGUGCUCUGAGUGAGGCCACAAUGAGAUGGGUGCCUGUGGGAGCCCUACAAAAACCUCAACAAGAGAUAGGGCCCCUGGGGAGAGACUCCAUCACACACAGGAAGAAGCAAGGAGGGGCUGUUCAGCACAGGUGGUUUGGCAAGGAAACCUGAGUUCAAUUCACGUCCAAUGUCUAGAUAUAUCAUUUAUUAGAAGCAUGUGUAUCUUCCAUUCUUUAGAAUAGAGACAGAAUAUAUAGUUCAUAUUUUUAUAUCACACAUAGAAUUAUGCAACAAAAGGUGCAAUAACAAUGUAUUCAUCUUGUGUUGCUUUUGUUAAGGGUGGAAAAUUAUCCAAUUAUCUUCAGACUAAAUGGAUGAUUCCGUUGAUAAGCUGUUAAGUUUCCAGAAUCAUUCAUACAUUUAUGCAUUAAUUGUUAUUUAGAAUUCUUUAAUCUAAAUAUCUGUAAUAUAAAGUUAUAUAAAUAUCUGUCAUUGAUUUUUCUUAAGAAUGGUGUCAUUACUCAAUGAGGUAGAAAAAUUAAAUUUAGAUUUCUUUCC